UCACGCGCAAAAGUUGAUAAGUUUUCACAAGUAAAAUUCACCCAAAGUAGGAAGGAGCGUGCAAGGAAAGGAACCCUAACCUCUCUAGAGCUUUUAGAUUAACGAAGCCGAUUUUGUUCUCUCCCCGAUUACCAACGAUGGACUGUGUAUAUAUUAGACAAGUUAAAAGCAACCGAGUUUCGUGGAUCGGGCCUAUUACGGGGCAGUUGAGAAAUGGGCUUUAAAAGAUAAGCCUAUUAGUUAGUGGUUCUUAGUUCUUACAAGGAAGUUUUUUUUGCUAAAAACAUGGUUUUAUUUCUUUGUUGGAACCCAAAUAAUGUAAAUAAUUUUUUUCACAAUGAGAAUUGAAUAGGAGUGUCUACUUUGACACUCUUUUACCACUAGACCAACAGUUCCAGUUCGUUGAAAGUUUUCUUUUCCUGUUUUACUUAUGUAAGAACAACAUUUGAUAUAAGUUCAACAUAACCAAGUUCAAAUAAUCACUUGUAACGGCCAAAUUAUACAAAAUUGAUAAGAAGACCACAAACUUCCUCCGAAGGUUUGGUAGCAAUUGAAAAUUGUUGAUCAAUCUUGUUUCAAAUAUGUUGAGCUAAUGAUUAUGAUAAACCAAUUAUAAGAAAUGCUACCGAAGGUCAAUUAUAAAAAUAAGGUGCUUCAUUCAAUUACAAAUAAAAUAUCAUUAAACAAACAAACGUAUGUUAUUGUUCCAUAUGGCCUCAAUAUUGGCAUUAGUGUUGCGAGUGAUUUAAUAAGAAAAUAAAAAAUGCAGAGUGAUCAGUGAUCACUGCGGCUCGAAAACUAAUUCGCGAUUCCAGCCUCUUUCUUGUUCUUCUCUUUGACGUACUCAUCCAUCUCACCGAGCCAGAGAUCAGCAAACUCGCAAUCCUUCCAAGCAUCAAAC